CAUUAUNUUUCCUAUAGAACGAACNCUGGCGGCAAGCCUAACACAUGCAAGUCGAACGGUCAAUUAUUUAUAGCCUCUGGCUAUAGGAAAUUGUUAGUGGCAGACGGGUGAGUAAUGCGUAGGAAUCUACCUAGUAGUACGGAAUAGCCAUUAGAAAUGGUGGGUAAUACUGUAUAAUCCCCGAGGGGGAAAGAUUUAUCGCUAUUAGAUGAGCCUACGUUAGAUUAGCUAGUUGGUGAGGUAAUGGCUUACCAAGGCUAUGAUCUAUAGCUGGUCUGAGAGGACGAUCAGCCACACUGGAACUGAGAUACGGUCCAGACUCCUACGGGAGGCAGCAGUGGGGAAUAUUGGACAAUGGGCGAAAGCCUGAUCCAGCUAUNCCGCGUGAGUGAAGAAGGCNCGGGUNNAAACUCUCA
rnacentral:rRNA from 1 species